GACGAACGCUGACGGCAUGCCUAACACAUGCAAGUCGAGCGAGCAGAUCCCUUCGGGGUGAAGCUAGCGGCGGACGGGUGAGUAACACGUGGGCAACCUGCCUCAUAGAGGGGAAUAGCCUUCCGAAAGGAAGAUUAAUACCGCAUAAGAUUGCAUCUUCGCAUGAAGAAGCAAUUAAAGGAGCAAUCCGCUAUGAGAUGGGCCCGCGGCGCAUUAGCUAGUUGGUGAGGUAACGGCUAACGAAGGCGACGAUGCGUAGCCGACCUGAGAGGGUGGUCGGCCACAUUGGGACUGAGACAAGGCACAGACUCCUACGGGAGGCAGCAGUGGGGAAUAGUGCACAAUGGAGGAAACCUUGAUGCAGCAAUGCCGCGUGAGUGAUGACGGCCUUCACGUUGUAAAGCUCUGUCUUCGGGGACGAUAAUGACGGUACCCGAGGAGGAAGCCACGGAUAACUACGUGCCAGCAGCCGCCGUAA
rnacentral:rRNA from 1 species